rnacentral:rRNA from 1 species
GUCCACGCCGUAACGAUGGAUGCUAGCCGUUGGCAGGCUUGCCUGUCAGUGGCGCAGCUAACGCAUUAAGCAUCCCGCCUGGGAGUACGGUCGCAAGAUUAAACUCAAAGGAAUUGACGGGGCCCGCACAAGCGGUGAGCAUGUGGUUCAAUUCGAAGCAACGCGCAGAACCUUACCAGCUUUUGACAUGGCAGGACGGUUUCCAGAGAUGGACUCCUUCCCUUCGGGGACCUGCACACAGGUGCUGCAUGGCUGUCGU